CCAAGCCAGCCAGGAAGGAGGAGGCAGCCAGAGUGGCCACCACUGGUCUCGGCAGCAGAAGACCCCUUGCUGCCAGUGGCAAACCUGACACCUUCAAGAGGCCUACAAGCAGAGCGCAGAUGGAGCAGCCCUCCCACUCUGUCAUCUUCUUGCAACUGGCAUUCAGUGGUAUACUGCUUCUGAACAUGGAGGCUCUAUUUAGCUGUGAGGGCUCAUAGCUAAUCUACCUCUGCUGCAUGGAUUUGGUCUCAUCUCUUUGAAAAGCCAUCUAAACUAGCAGUCACCACAUCUUGCAGCAGCCAGUAACAGACGUUUACUCUGCAUUUGUAUGAAGCUGUCAGCUCUCUUGCCUGUUCUGAAUUUGCUGCUGGCCUCUCUUGCUAGAAGACUCUGAAUUCUAGUGUGCUGAGAAAGGGAGAAAAAUCUCUCUCUCAAUUUCACUUUUUCUGUCUCAAUCUCUUUUUCUUUCCCUUCUUUCUGCGCACUGUAUAUACUUGAAUAAGACUUUAUCAUGCUUCCA